UACAGAGGUCUCAAGCGUUGUUCGGAUUCAUUGGGCGUAAAGGGUGCGUAGGCGGCGCGGUAAGUCGGGUGUGAAAUCUUGGAGCUUAACUCCGAAACUGCAUUCGAUACUGCCGUGCUUGAGGACUGGAGAGGAGACUGGAAUUUACGGUGUAGCGGUGAAAUGCGUAGAUAUCGGGAGGAACACCUGUGGCGAAAGCGGCGCACUGGACCACAACCGACGCUGAGGCGCGAAAGCUAGGGGAGCAAACAGG
rnacentral:rRNA from 1 species